rnacentral:rRNA from 1 species
AACGAACGCUGGCGGCAUGCUUAACACAUGCAAGUCGAACGGACUUAUGGGGCUUGCUCCAUAAGUUAGUGGCAGACGGGUGAGUAACGCGUGGGAAUGUACCUUUUGGUUCGGAACAACCACGGGAAACGUGUGGCUAAUACCGGAUAAGCCCGUGAGGGAAAGAUUUAUCGCCAAAAGAGCAGCCCGCGUUAGAUUAGGUAGUUGGUGGGGUAAUGGCCCACCAAGCCGACGAUCUAUAGCUGGUCNGAGAGGA